rnacentral:rRNA from 1 species
AGGGUUUGAUUAUGGCUCAGAACGAACGCUUGCUGCAUGCUUUAUACAUGCAAGUCGAACGGAGGCCCUAGCUUGCUAGGUGUCCUUAGUGGCGCACGGGUGAGUAACACGUGGGAACAUACCUCAUAGUACGGAAUAACUGCGGGAAACUGUAGCUAAUACCGUAUAUUCCAGUAAUGGGAAAGAUUUAUCGCUAUGAGAUUGGCCCGCGCAAGAUUAGCUUGUUGGUGAGGUAAUGGCUCACCAAGGCUCCGAUCUUUAGCUGGUUUGAGAGGACGAUCAGCCACACUGGGACUGAGACACGGCCCAGACUCCUACGGGAGGCAGCAGUAGGGAAUAUUGGACAAUGGGGGAAACCCUGAUCCAGCAAUGCAGCGUGAGUGACGAAGGCCUUAGGGUUGUAAAACUCUUUCAUCGGUGAGGAUAAUGACGGUAGCCGAAGAAGAAGGACCGGCUAAUUCCGUGCCAGCCGCCGCGGUAAUAC